rnacentral:rRNA from 1 species
CAGUAGCGUAUAUUAAAGUUGUUGCAGUUAAAAAGCUCGUAGUUGGAUCUCGGGUGUGGGCCGGCGGUCCUGCUCGCGCAGGUACUGCCCGUUCCGACCCACCUGUGGGCCUUCCCUCAGUGCCCUUAACUGGGUGCUUUGGGAGACUCGCGCGUUUACUUUGAAAAAAUUAGAGUGUUCAAGGCAGGCGCAUUCCGCCUGUAUAUCGUUGCAUGGAAUAAUGGAAGAGGAUGCCCGUCCUGUUCUGUUGGUCUCUGGGAACCGGGUGUAAUGAUCAAGAGGGACGGCCGGGGGCAUCAGUAUUACUGUGUGAGAGGUGAAAUUCGGGGACUGCCGUAAGACUAACGACAGCGAAAGCAUUUGCCAAGAAUGUAUUCAUUGAUCAAGAACGAAAGUCAGAGGUUCGAAGACGAUUAGAUACCGU